rnacentral:lncRNA from 1 species
CCGCUCCACACUGUCCCGAAGCCCCGAGCGCCAGCCCGGACCCCCGGGACACGCCCCCCCACCACACACACACACACACACACACACACACACACACACACACACACUCCCCCCCCGACCCCGGGACACACACCCCCACCCCACCCCCUGCACCCCCCGCACCCCCGACCGCUGGGACACCCCCCCACACACUCCCCUCCCCUCCAGCAACGCGCGGCGCUCCCAUCCCCCGGCAGCCCACCAGGUGGCGCUCGCUCCCCCAUUUCCCCCCCCCCCUCCCGCGCCGACGCCCGUGACGUCAGCCGCCCGGCUCCAUUUGAGCGCCUCUCGGCAGCCGAGAACUCGGACUUCCCGUGUGGCUCACAACAUAACUACUCGGCGUUGCUUCUACAGUGGCUGUGGCUCGACCCCUGGCCUGGGAACUUCCAUAUGCCGCAGCCCCGCGGCGGCAGAUGGCACUCGUUCUGCCGCUUUUUCCUGGCUGUGUGCGAUGCCAUCGCAUAGAUGUCCCCGGGUCUGCGAAGUGCACUCACCUGUCAGUGGACCUUUAGGUGGCUUCCAGAUCUUGGCUCUGCCCCGCGGCGGCAGAUGGCACUCGUUCUGCCGCUGUUUCCGGGCUGUGGGCGAUGCCAUCGCAUGGAUGUCCCCGGGCCUGCGAAGUGCACUCACCUGUCAGUGGACCUUUAGGUGGCUUCCAGAUCUUGCUCUGGUGAGUAGUGCGGCGACAGACAGAGGGUGCCCGGGUCUGCUUCCGGGAAAGUUUGGUCCCGGUGAAAUGGAGCUGUUUGGAGGCCGGCUUCGGUCUUUGUGUGGGCCGGCCCGUGUAGGGCUGCUUGGCUGAGACUCUGUCGAGGAG